rnacentral:lncRNA from 1 species
CAACAUUUAUGGAGUGCGACAAUCAGGUGCUAUAUAUUGCGAUCGACAAGGCAUUUCUAUCCAUGCAUGUCGAUCGCUUUAUGGUUUGUGAGAAAUGUACCGACGCCUGUAGUGAGUAAUCUCAAGUGUCGUGUCUAGGUGAAUAGGUGCUAAUUACGUCAAGAACGAAUACAGUACUAACUCACUAAGGCAGGAGAUACAACGCUCGAGCUGCGAGCAGAGCAACAAAAGAAAAGAAAACAAGAAAACGAGAAAGCAAAGAAAACUGGAGAAACACCCGAACACAGUUAGCGCCCCAUCUAAAGCCUACUCUCGCAGCACUAACGUCCGUCCCCCGGCCGACGCGCCAUGGUACAGAAGUGAACUGAAUCAGCAACCCGCUGGACCAAGCAGUUGUUUGGCAACUCAGUAUCCUGGAAGAUUCUGCAUGCACGCCAUUAGAAAAGCAGAACCUGUUAAGAAUUUGAU